UUAAGAGUGUGCACUCAUGGGUUC
rnacentral:siRNA from 1 species